rnacentral:rRNA from 1 species
UGGGGAAUUUUGGACAAUGGGCGAAAGCCUGAUCCAGCCAUGCCGCGUGCAGGAUGAAGGCCUUCGGGUUGUAAACUGCUUUUGUACGGAACGAAAAGACUCUGGUUAAUACCUGGGGUCCAUGACGGUACCGUAAGAAUAAGCACCGGCUAACUACGUGCCAGCAGCCGCGGUAAUACGUAGGGUGCAAGCGUUAAUCGGAAUUACUGGGCGUAAAGCGUGCGCAGGCGGUUAUAUAAGACAGAUGUGAAAUCCCCGGGCUCAACCUGGGAACUGCAUUUGUGACUGUAUAGCUAGAGUACGGCAGAGGGGGAUGGAAUUCCGCGUGUAGCAGUGAAAUGCGUAGAUAUGCGGAGGAACACCGAUGGCGAAGGCAAUCCCCUGGGCCUGUACUGACGCUCAUGCACGAAAGCGUGGGGAGCAAACAGGAUUAGAUACCCUGUAGUCCACGCCCUAAACGAUGUCAACUGGGUUGUUGGGGUCUUUCACUGACUCAGUAACGAAGCUAACGCGUGAAGUUGACCGCCU